AGACGGAGGGUGCAAGCGUUAAUCGGAAUUACUGGGCGUAAAGCGCUCGUAGGCGGCUUGUUAAGUCGGAUGUGAAAGCCCCGAGCUCAACCUGGGAACUGCAUUCGAUACUGGCAGGCUAGAGUAUAGUAGAGGCAAGUGGAAUUCCGGGUGUAGCGGUGAAAUGCGUAGAUAUCCGGAGGAACAUCAGUGGCGAAGGCGACUUGCUGGACUAAUACUGACGCUGAGGAGCGAAAGCGUGGGGAGCAAACGGGAUUAGAAACCCCAGUAGUCC
rnacentral:rRNA from 1 species